rnacentral:rRNA from 1 species
UACGUAGGGUGCGAGCGUUGUCCGGAAUUAUUGGGCGUAAAGAGCUCGUAGGCGGUUUGUCGCGUCUGCUGUGAAAGACCAGGGCUCAACUCCGGUUCUGCAGUGGGUACGGGCAGACUAGAGUGAUGUAGGGGAGACUGGAAUUCCUGGUGUAGCGGUGAAAUGCGCAGAUAUCAGGAGGAACACCGAUGGCGAAGGCAGGUCUCUGGGCAUUAACUGACGCUGAGGAGCGAAAGCAUGGGGAGCGAACAGG